CUACGGGGGGCACCAGUGGGGAAUAUUGCACAAUGGGGGAAACCCUGAUGCAGCAACGCCGCGUGGAGGAUGACGCAUUUCGGUGUGUAAACUCCUUUUAUAUCCCAAGAUAAUGACGGUAGGAUAUGAAUAAGCACCGGCUAACUCCGUGCCAGCAGCCGCGGUAAUACGGAGGGUGCAAGCGUUACUCGGAAUCACUGGGCGUAAAGGGCGCGUAGGCGGGUUGUCAAGUCUUGAGUGAAAUCCAACGGCUCAACCGUUGAACUGCUUGAGAAACUGGCAGCCUAGAGUAAGGGAGAGGUAGAUGGAAUUGGUGGUGUAGGGGUAAAAUCCGUAGAGAUCACCAGGAAUACCCAUUGCGAAGGCGAUCUGCUGGAACUUUACUGACGCUGAGGCGCGAAAGCGUGGGGAGCAAACAGGAUUAGAUACCCUCGUAGUC
rnacentral:rRNA from 1 species